rnacentral:tRNA from 1 species
GGGCCCGUAGCUUAGCUGGUAGAGCACCCGGCUCAUAACCGGGCGGUCGCCGGUUCAAAUCCGGCCGGGCCCA